UACGUAGGGCGCAAGCGUUGUCCGGAAUUAUUGGGCGUAAAGAGCUCGUAGGCGGCUUGUCACGUCGAUUGUGAAAGCCCGAGGCUUAACCUCGGGUCUGCAGUCGAUACGGGCUAGCUAGAGUGUGGUAGGGGAGAUCGGAAUUCCUGGUGUAGCGGUGAAAUGCGCAGAUAUCAGGAGGAACACCGGUGGCGAAGGCGGAUCUUUGGGCCAUUACUGACGCUGAGGAGCGAAAGCGUGGGGAGCGAACAGG
rnacentral:rRNA from 1 species